rnacentral:lncRNA from 10 species
GUGGAAACCACCAACCAAUUGGAAGGUGACUAGGGUGAAUAUAGCCCAAGGAACUUGCAAAACUCUUUGGAGGGCCAAGGAGUAAAGGACUUCAUUCAGGGUGUGACAUGGUGGGCCACACCCAUCAACAGAAUCUCAGCCAGGGCUUCAGAACUAAUGUAAAAAGUGAAAAAAUCUUAUAACUCAGUUACAAAGACUUAGUUUUACUGCUAAUAAUGAACGUGGAACUUAUAGUCCUUUGCCUUCUACUCUGUCCAAAUCUGAUGAGUUAUUUUAGCCUAGAAAGUUCCAUAAAAUGUAUACCACCAAAAAGAAAAAUUCUGACUGCAGGGAAGCAGUACACUCUGUAGACCCCGGAGAAAAAUAAAUCACCAUGAGAUUUGACAACAAUCAAUUUUUCACUGCACGCUAAUCAAGCAGAUAGAAAGAAGGCCAUGCCUAGAUGCCAGUGUGAAGAAGAGACAGAGCAGAGACACGAACAACAUGUAAAAAAAUGCAACAACAAGGGUCCAUCUUGGAAGCAGAGGGCAGCCUUCACCAGACAAUCAAACCUGCCACCUGCCUGUGCCUUGAUGUUGGACUUCUCAGCUUCUAGAACUGCAACAAGGAGAAGUGCAGAGACAAGGUGGGGAAAGCCCCUUACAAAACCAUCAGAUCUCGUGAGAACUCAUCCACAUCACAAGAACAGCAUGAAGAAACGGAACAAGGGGAAUGCAAUCUCACAGGAUGGAAAUAACCUGUGGUGAAUUGUUGCCAUCCAGAUCCACUUUUAAGUCCACAUGGUUCAUUCAUUUUGGACUAGAUCCUGGUACAGCCCAGUGAACUGAUAUUCUUGAAAUCAGGCACAGAGGCUCUGAAGUAAUGCAUUACAUUUGCAUCCAUGAUUUGCUUAAAAUGUUCCAUUUAGCCUUUCCUCCCAGGAAACAAAGCCAGCAGUAUUUGAUUAUUGAAUAGCUCGUUUUGGAUGCUUAGUUUGAGAAGAUUUUAUUAAGAUUAUGGGAAACUUGAAUUUUACAAAAUGAAUCAUGAGUUAUAUUUCAGUUUUGAUUUGUCUCCAAGGGUUGAAAUACAUAGAAGUCUAGGAUACAUUAUAUAUUAGCUCUAUUUUAGCAUGCAUUUAAUGCAAUCACAGGCAAAAAUCAAAUGCUUUAAAGAAAAAGAUUGCAGUUUUAGAAAUGAAGGAUGUGAAAAAGGACGAAUCUAUAUAAAUAAAAGUGAACUUAGAGUAAUAACAUGCAAUAUAGUCUAUGUAGAUAUGCAUAUUUUAAUUGUAUAUUACUAUUUGUCCCAUCACAAUAAUUGGUUUAAACAAUGGUGUAUUUAUAUGUGUAAAACAAAGUUUGGUAUGUGUGUGCACACAUAUACACACAGAAACACACACACACACUUUUCUAAUCAACUAACAUUUAAGAAAUACCACUGAAGGAAAUAUUAAUGACAGAAAGAGCUUUUCUGCACACAGAAAAGCACGCACACUCCUAUGCAGCAUACAAAUAGGUAAGAGUACAUGUUUUCCCUGAAAGAAGAGCAAGAGACCAACGGAAUAAGCCCCUUUACUGGGUUCCCAUAUGGCUGAAUGGUCUCAAUAUCUCAAUCUUUAGAACAUACCUCAGCAUCUCCACAUCUCCUCCUACCUCUGUCCUGUGUUGCUGGGACACAGGGGCAGGAAAUGGAUGCAUCCCUUCCCAUGCACGCCCAAACAGCUCCUCAACUCAAUCUCAGCCCCAUGCCUCUUCUAUUCUUCUGUGAGGAAGUGGCUUCUCAUGACCUAUCCGAGAGCUCAGCACAUGUUAAGUUCUCACACAGGCUUAAGCCAACAUAAUCGUCAACAUUAAAAAGUAACAACAUAAUAUUUGGGCGGAUGAUGUUUUCUGUUCAUAAUCAACAGUGACUUCUCAGAGUGGCCUUUUCUGACCUCUCUAUCUAAAUAGUACUUUACGUUUUCUCUAUCCCCUCCCUAAAUUACUCUGGUUCAUUUUUUGUCAAAGAAUUUUUACUGCUGAAUAGUGUCAUAGACCUAUUCAUUUAUUUAUUUUCUCACUCUUCCCAGUAAAAUAUAAGAUGCGUGGAGAAGAAGUUUGUUUUGUUCCCCUCUGCCAUAUGGGAAAGAACAGUGGUGGAAUUUAGUAGAUGCUCAAUAAAUAUUUGUUGAUUUAAUAAAAAAAUUCAUUUGUUGGGUUUCUUAAGUUGGCUUAUCCCAGAUGCAGAUCCAAAGCCGAGGAUGGAGUUGCAAGUGAUGCAUUAAGGAUGUGUUUCCAGGAGCAUCCAGAAAGGAGACAGGGACAUGGAGCAGGACAGGAAAGGCGAAGGAAGCAAGAGUUUCAUUUUAGGUGGACACAGGUAGUUCUCAUGAGAAGACCUGAGAUGUAAAUUUCAACUCUAAGUUUUUCACCUGGAAGCAAAGGAACUAUACUUCCCACCAAAAAAUACCUAAUUACUCGGAGCCCCUGAUUGGGAGGGAGGUAGUAAACUUUCCCUCCUAGUUUGUUGUUGCCACACACCUCACUUAAUUUUCUUGAACCACUUCGCUCUUUAGAUGGUGACAAUUAACUAAGUUGAGCAACUAAUGUUUCAAAAAGAUAGAGGGUCCCCUAUUUUCCUAUUAAAUAAAGCAUAUACUUUAAAGUGGCCUAAUUUUUACACAGUGUCAUCCGGUCUGUGAAGCACUGUCAUAUGUAGUACUGAUAUCCUUUGAUUCUCAAAACAACCCUUUAAGCUAGAAGUAAAAAUGUUCUUUCUUUCUCUUGCCACAUUUUGAAAAACUGAGAUCCAGAUAGGUUAAGUUUUAGUAGUUGAGCCAAGAUUAAAAAAGGAGCUUGAUUGCAGAAAUUAUUUAUGUUCUUACUGCUAUACCAAGCUGUCACACAAAGAGAUUAUUCUGCCUUUAUUUUCUUAAUCACUAAGAUUCUAAAAAUAAAAAAACUCCAGGCCAAGUAAGUGGGGAAGAAGAAAUCAAACCAGAUUAAUGAGGGAAAUGUUAACGACAGAAAGAGCUUGGAGGCUCUCCAAUCACAUUGAGCAGGGGCUGCUGAUUCCAUCUGUGCUGAAGAAUAGUGUGACACUGCGCCACCCCCAUGCUACCCGCCCCUCUGUUUAGUCCCUCAUACUUACCAUGUGAGUUGUCUUUAUUCCAUUGAAUCCUACUCUAAAUUCUGCAUUUUAAGAUUUUCAAGAUUUCACUAAUGGAAAAGAAUUUGAAAAAUAACAUUUGAAGAAUGGUAGUGGGCUUUAAUAGUCAAUGAAGAGUGAAAAGAAGUAUUUGUUUGGACAAAAACCGAAUCCAGAAAACAGCUGAUGACCUACAUACUAGCUGGAAUGACUUUGCCUUCAGGUUAUAAAAGCACUUUGUAUCUAUUUAUUUGUCUGGCUACUGUGAAAAUAAACACUUCUAUGCAAUCAAAAUCUGAACUUCUGAAAAAUAAAGUUUUUUAACACCUAAGUAUGUUGGCACUUCACAGGUAUAAAUACUGAUGUUUUUUGGAACUCUUCUUUCGUAUUUAAAUAUGAGAGGUCACAGUAAAAUGUUAACCUAUUCUUUACAAAUAAACCAAGUAUAAAGACUUUGAUAUUCAACUCGGCUGUGCAUUUAAAUGUUUUGUGCUAAAUUUCACCAAAUAUGUUUAAAAUAAUUUGACUACAUUGUUAGAAAAGGAAGAUGGUUUAAGACUAUUUCUUUAGCAAAGGAUAUUAUACAGAAG